rnacentral:rRNA from 1 species
AGGAUGAACGCUGGCGGCGUGCCUAACACAUGCAAGUCGAACGUCCUGUCUCGCAAGAGGCAGGGAGUGGCGGACGGGUGAGUACCACGUGGGUUAUCUACCGUGAGGUGAGGAAUACCGGCGAGAAAUCGCCGACAAGACCGCAUAGCCUCGGUGCAAGCCGAGGAAAGCUUUCUCGAGAGAGGGAGCGCCACACGAGGAGCCUGCGCCCGAUUAGCUAGCUGGUGGAGUAACGGUUCACCAGGGCGACGAUCGGUAGCUGGUCUGAGAGGACGAUCAGCCACACUGGGAUUGAGAACGGCCCAGACUCCUACGGGGGGCAGCAGUGAGGAAUUUUCGUCAAUGGGGGCAACCCUGAACGAGCAACGCCGCGUGCAGGAGAAGGUUUUCGGAUCGUAAACUGCUUUUCGUCGGGGAAGAGAACGGACGGUACCCGAGGAAUCAGCCCCGGCUAACUACGUGCCAGCAGCCGC